AUUGAACGCUGGCGGCAUGCCUUACACAUGCAAGUCGAACGGUAACAGGUUAGGCUGACGAGUGGCGAACGGGUGAGUAAUGUAUCGGAACGUGCCCAGUCGUGGGGGAUAACUACUCGAAAGAGUGGCUAAUACCGCAUACGACCUGAGGGUGAAAGCGGGGGACCGUAAGGCCUCGCGCGAUUGGAGCAGCCGAUAUCAGAUUAGCUAGUUGGUGGGGUAAAAGCCCACCAAGGCGACGAUCUGUAGCUGGUCUGAGAGGACGACCAGCCACACUGGGACUGAGACACGGCCCAGACUCCUACGGGAGGCAGCAGUGGGGAAUUUUGGACAAUGGACGCAAGUCUGAUCCAGCCAUGCCGCGUGCGGGAAGAAGGCCUUCGGGUUGUAAACCGCUUUUGUCAGGGAAGAAACGAGUUUCUCUAACACAGAGACUUAGUGACGGUACCUGAAGAAUAAGCACCGGCUAACUACGUGCCAGCCGCCGCGGUAAAAC
rnacentral:rRNA from 1 species